AGAGUUUGAUCCUGGCUCAGAAUCAACGCUGGCGGCGCGCUUAACACAUGCAAGUCGAGCGAGAAAGUGGAGCAAUCCAUGAGUACAGCGGCGUACGGGUGAGUAACACGUGGGUGAUCUGCCUCUUAGUGGGGAAUAACCCUGGGAAACCGGGGCUAAUACCGCAUAAUCCUGUGAAGGGAAAGCAGCAAUGCGCUGAGAGAGGAGCCCGCGGCCGAUUAGCUAGUUGGUGAGGUAACGGCCCACCAAGGCAACGAUCGGUAGCCGGCCUGAGAGGGCACACGGCCACACUGGCACUGAAACACGGGCCAGACUCCUACGGGAGGCAGCAGUGGGGAAUCUUGCACAAUGGAGGCAACUCUGAUGCAGCGACGCCGCGUGAGCGAUGAAGCCCUUCGGGGUGUAAAGCUCUUUCGGCAGGGACGAUAAUGACGGUACCUGAAGAAGAAGCUGCGGCUAACUACGUGCCAGCAGCCGCGGUAAUACGUAGGCAGCGAGCGUUGUUCGGAAUUACUGGGCGUAAAGAGUGUGUAGGCGGUGCUCUAAGUUCGGUGUGAAAUCUCCUGGCUUAACUGGGAGGGUGCGCCGGAAACUGGAGUGCUCGAGCGUGGGAGAGGAAAGCGGAAUUCCUGGUGUAGCGGUGAAAUGCGUAGAUAUCAGGAGGAACACCUGCGGUGUAGACGGCUUUCUGGACCAUUGCUGACGCUGAGACACGAAAGCGUGGGUAGCAAACAGGAUUAGAUACCCUCGUAGUCC
rnacentral:rRNA from 1 species